GUAAAUUGGUGCAAUUAGCAGCAAGGGAGGAUGAGCAGUGGGAGUGGUAUACUCGUUUCAAGACCAGGGAAGAACACAUUGGUGUUCAGGUGGAUGGUGACGAGGCUGGUACUCUUGUGUCUUGCCGGCGCUGGUGCCGCGGGCUUCACCUUCGACAAGUACAACCUGAGGGUCCCAUCACAUAAUAUUUUUCUGGUAUUAUUUGAACAUGUGGCUGGCAUUAUGGGUUUCAGAGAACGACAUAUGAUCUUGGAAUUGUCAAUUCGGUGCUAUGAAGGUAUUAGGUGCUUAGUUGGAGGUACACAUUCAAGGUUGAGGCUGAAAUGCACGAUGUAGAAAGGUUCAUAUGCACAGUCGAUGGUGCGCUCACGGCAUGGCUCCCAUGGUCUAUGGGUUGGAGCAGUGGUGCCCACCACAUGGCGUCCAGGGAGCUGCUCGUGGUGGUGGAACCUGGGGCGGUGAUCAUAAGAGAGUAGAAGGAGAGUAUGGUGCCAAACAUGGAGGAGCCCCUUGUUGGGGGCAACGUUGAGAAGAUAGAGGGAUAGCAGAUAUGUUGGUACUGAUUGAGGUCAAGAAGAAGUUGUACCGUGCUAGGCACCUCGCUGUUGGAUUUCAUGAAUUAUUAUAGAUGUAUCGAUGUGAAAACUGAAAAGAUGAGAUGCAUUCAGGAGCUUCAGUAAGGUUGCUCGCUGCUGAUCUCGAAGUGUUUUUGUUCUGGGUACUUGUAUGAUCGAGGAAGAAUGUGUUAUUCCUAAACGUGCUAUUGCAGAUCCAAGCGCAACAGGUUUGACCCGAGAUGGAUGCCUUUGUUCUGCAGUUUGGUGGCCUCAUAGGGUACAUGGCCACAAGGACAACUGAAUCAACUCGUGCAUGUGUUUCUAAACAGGGGAUGUAAUUAAGCUCUUAUUCCUGAUAGCCUACAACCGAUUUGAUCGGCUUGUGUAUGUUGCUUACAGGCUUGAGUGCGUUAAUUUGACCUUUUGGGACUGUAGGACAAAUCAACUGUACUACUAUUUUCCAGUUGCUCCUUAUUUUGGAGAUAUCAACUCACUUUUCAUGUAUUUGGUUACCGGAAAAUUUAUUGAGACUCAAGAAUCAAGACAAAGGCAAAAAAAUCCGAAGAUUCACUAUAUUAAAUCAUGGCUAAUGCGUAGUUCUGAGAGGGAGUACUUAGCGGGAGUGAGCUAGGUGGAGGCAUGAAUUGAUCGAAGGCUGGCGGCACGGAAGCGAGCGUGGGUCACGGGCGCAGCUGAGCAGUCACCAGCGUCUGAGUAAGAGAUUUGUUUUUUUCAUAAGAUGUAAUGUCUUCUGUUUAGAUGAAUUAAUCAUGGAUGAAUAGCGGUUGGCGGAUGGGUCUGGUUUGACCACCAGAUGUUUGUUUUAAAUCCUUUCGCAGAGUGAGAUUUAUUUUCUUGAUGCCUAUAAAUUGUAUUUACUUUAGAACACUGUAAAAGGUAGCAUGAUUUAUUUUUUUGAUGCCUAUAUCUGAGAUGAUUGCAUUGUCAAAUAGUUAAGCCACAAAACUGUGGUGGCUCUUUGCUGCUUGAGCCUUCCGAUUAUACAUGCAAUCUUUUUCUCUUUCAUUAAUCCUUUGUUAUAUCAUGUAAUUACUGUCAAGAAUCCUGCCAAUUCGCUGAUUGCAACUAAAGGUACAAAGAAAGGCCCUUUGUUUUAAUGCUAUUCAUGCAUCGCCAAGUUGGUGAAACUGAUUUUUCUAGAAGAAUGCAAAAUUACAUGAGUUGAUCCUGAAGCAAUGCCAUACGAAAAAAAUCUCUACUUCCCGCACGGAGACUGAGAUUCAGGAUUUCAGUGAUUCAGAGAGCCGAAACUUUAGGUAUUGUUUUAUUUGCAUGUAUAUAGGCCUGUCAUGAACAACCAUUUUUUCCCGUUUUCUUCUCCUGGGUUUAUGGGUGCUAAAUAAUAUGUGUGCUCAGUCCCAGAUUUUCAGUGUCAGUAUAAAAAACUGACAAUGGUUUGUGCUAUGCAUGGAGUAGCUUUACAGCUCUCUCAGAAAAGGAGUAGCAUUACCAAGACAGACAUGAGCAUGGCUAAAAGCAAGGCAUUACUGUUAUAAUUCAGUUUGUUGUACCGUGCAACCUGCUAUUUUUUGUACCGUAUUGUCAUGGAAGUAUUUAGAGUUCAAUUUAUAAUACCCUAUUGGUGUGGGCAUACAAGCUUCAUUUGUUAAUAUCUCCCAUGCUCAUUCAUAUUGUGUAAGUAAAGUGUAAAAGGUUAAAGGAAUCUUUCGAACAA